rnacentral:rRNA from 1 species
AUACGGAGGAUGCGAGCGUUAUCCGGAUUUAUUGGGCUUAAAGGGUGCGUAGGCGGGCUGUUAAGCGUGAGGUGAAAGCUCGGGGCUCAACCCCGGAACUGCCUCGCGAACUGGCGGACUUGAAUGUCCGUGACGUGGGAGGAAUGCGUGGUGUAGCGGUGAAAUGCAUAGAGAUCACACAGAACACCGAUUGCGAAGGCGUCUCACGAACGGAUGAUUGACGCUGAGGCACGAAAGCGUGGGGAUCAAACAGGAUUAGAUACCCUGGUAGUCCAUGCUAUAAACGAUGAUUACUAGGUGUGGGUGGACUGACGCCAUCCGUGCCGGAGUUAACGCAUUAAGUAAUCCACCUGGGGAGUACGGCCGCAAGGUUGAAACUCAAAGGAAUUGACGGGG